GACGAACGCUGGCGGCGUGCCUAAUACAUGCAAGUAGAACGCAGUUGCGGACGGAUGAGUAACGAGUAGGUAACUGCCUGGUAGCGGGGGGGAACAAUUAGCAACGAUAGCUAAUAACACCGACUACCAGAUGGACCUGCGUUGUAUUAGCUAGUUGGUGGGGUAACGGCUCACCAAGGCAACGAUACAUAGCCGACCUGAGAGGGUGAUCGGCCACCCUGGGACUGAGACACGGCCCAGACUCCUACGGGAGGCAGCAGUAGGGAAUCUUCGGCAAUGGACGGAAGUCUGACCGAGCAACGCCGCGUGAGUGAAGAAGGUUUUCGGAUCGUAAAGCUCUGUUGUAAGAGAAGCGGUAUCUUACCAGAAAGGGACGGCUAACUACGUGCCAGCAGCCGCGGUAAUAC
rnacentral:rRNA from 1 species